rnacentral:rRNA from 1 species
GACGAACGCUGGCGGCGUGCUUAACACAUGCAAGUCGAACGGAGUGGCGAACGGGUGAGUAACACGUGGGUGACCUGCCCUGCACUUCGGGGUAAGCCUGGGUAACUGGGGCUAAUACCGGAUAGUGUGGGAUGGGCGCGCGGCCUAUUGGCUUGUGGGUGGGGUAAUGGCCUGCCAAGGCGGCGACGGGUAGCCGGCCUGGGAGGGGGGCCGGCCUCAUUGGGACUGAGACACGGCCCAGACGCCUACUGGAGGCAGCAGGGGGGAAUAUUGCACAAUGGUCGGAAGCCUGAUGCAGCGACGCCGGGUGGGGAAUGUCGGCCUUCGGGUUGUAAACUCCUUUCACCAUCGACGCGGUAGAUGGAGAAGAAGCACCGGCUAACUACGUGCCAGCCGCCGCGGUAAUAC